GACGAACGCUGGCGGCGUGCCUAAUACAUGCAAGUAGAACGCAGUUGCGAACGGGUGAGUAACGCGUAGGUAACCUGCCUCAUAGCGGGGGAUAACUCUUGGAACCGAUAGCUAAUACCGCAUACUUUGAGAUGGACCUGCGUUGUAUUAGCUAGUUGGGGGGGUAAAGGCUCACCAAGGCGACGAUACAUAGCCGACCUGAGAGGGUGAGCGGCCACACUGGAACUGAGACACGGCCCAGACUCCUACGGGAGGCAGCAGUGGGGAAUUUUGGACAAUGGGGGAAAGCCUGAUCCAGCCAUCCCGCGUGUACGAAGAAGGCCUUCGGGUUGUAAAGCACUUUUGGCAGGAAAGCGGUACCUGCAGAAUAAGCACCGGCUAACUACGUGCCAGCAGCCGCGGUAAUUC
rnacentral:rRNA from 1 species